GGCUAAAUCAUCUCCUUAAAUCUUCCAUGAAGAUGAUAAUCAGAGCUUAGCUCUUUCCUACAUCGGCUCUUCAACACAGGUCAAGAACUGUUCAUGUGAUAGAAGAGGGACCACGCGAGCAAAGGAAUCAGUUGUUUUCUGUUUUAGGGUCUCUCACUGAUCCAGAAGAAGAAGAAUCAAAGGAAUCCUCAGAGGACAGGUUGCUUCUGUAGAUAUUAAACUACCAAGAAGAAGAAGUUUGCAAGUGGAGUUCGGU